UACGUAGGGUGCAAGCGUUGUCCGGAAUUAUUGGGCGUAAAGCGCGCGCAGGCGGUCCGUCUAGUCGGGUGGUUAAGCUCGGGGCUCAACCCCGAGUCACACCGGAAACGGACGGACUUGAGUGCCGAAGAGGAGAGUGGAAUUCCACGUGUAGCGGUGAAAUGCGUAGAGAUGUGGAGGAACACCAGUGGCGAAGGCGACUCGCUGGACGGUAACUGACGCUGAGGCGCGAAAGCGUGGGGAGCAAACAGG
rnacentral:rRNA from 1 species